rnacentral:rRNA from 1 species
GAGAGUUUGUAACACCCGAAGCCGUGGAGUAACCUUUUGGAGCUAGCCGUCGAAGGUGGGACAAAUGAUUGGGGUGAAGUCGUAACAAGGUAGCCGUAUCGGAAGGUGCGGCUGGAUCACCUCCUUUCU